rnacentral:rRNA from 1 species
UACGGAGGGUGCAAGCGUUAAUCGGAAUUACUGGGCGUAAAGCGCGCGUAGGUGGUUUGAUAAGCGAGAUGUGAAAGCCCCGGGCUUAACCUGGGAACGGCAUUUCGAACUGUCAGGCUAGAGUAUGGUAGAGGAGUGUGGAAUUUCCUGUGUAGCGGUGAAUAUACUGUGAG